rnacentral:rRNA from 1 species
UUUAUGGAGAGUUUGAUCCUGGCUCAGAGUGAACGCUGGCGGCGUGCCUAAUACAUGCAAGUCGAACGAUGAAGCUUCUAGCUUGCUAGAAUGCUGAUUAGUGGCGCACGGGUGAGUAACGCAUAGGUUAUGUGCCUCUUAGUUUGGGAUAGCCAUUGGAAACGAUGAUUAAUACCAGAUACUCCCUACGGGGGAAAGAUUUAUCGCUAAGAGAUCAGCCUAUGUCCUAUCAGCUUGUUGGUAAGGUAAUGGCUUACCAAGGCUAUGACGGGUAUCCGGCCUGAGAGGGUGAACGGACACACUGGAACUGAGACACGGUCCAGACUCCUACGGGAGGCAGCAGUAGGGAAUAUUGCUCAAUGGGGGAAACCCUGAAGCAGCAACGCCGCGUGGAGGAUGAAGGUUUUAGGAUUGUAAACUCCUUUUGUUAGAGAAGAUAAUGACGGUAUCUAACGAAUAAGCACCGGCUAACUCCGUGCCAGCAGCCGCGGUAAUACGGAGGGUGCAAGCGUUACUCGGAAUCACUGGGCGUAAAGAGCGCGUAGGCGGGAUAGUCAGUCAGGUGUGAAAUCCUAUGGCUUAACCAUAGAACUGCAUUUGAAACUACUAUUCUAGAGUGUGGGAGAGGUAGGUGGAAUUCUUGGUGUAGGGGUAAAAUCCGUAGAGAUCAAGAGGAAUACUCAUUGCGAAGGCGACCUGCUGGAACAUUACUGACGCUGAUUGCGCGAAAGCGUGGGGAGCAAACAGGAUUAGAUACCCUGGUAGUCCACGCCCUAAACGAUGGAUGCUAGUUGUUGGAGGGCUUAGUCUCUCCAGUAAUGCAGCUAACGCAUUAAGCAUCCCGCCUGGGGAGUACGGUCGCAAGAUUAAAACUCAAAGGAAUAGACGGGGACCCGCACAAGCGGUGGAGCAUGUGGUUUAAUUCGAAGAUACACGAAGAACCUUACCUAGGCUUGACAUUGAGAGAAUCCGCUAGAAAUAGUGGAGUGUCUGGCUUGCUAGACCUUGAAAACAGGUGCUGCACGGCUGUCGUCAGCUCGUGUCGUGAGAUGUUGGGUUAAGUCCCGCAACGAGCGCAACCCCCUUUCUUAGUUGCUAACAGGUCAUGCUGAGAACUCUAAGGAUACUGCCUCCGUAAGGAGGAGGAAGGUGGGGACGACGUCAAGUCAUCAUGGCCCUUACGCCUAGGGCUACACACGUGCUACAAUGGGGUGCACAAAGAGAAGCAAUACUGCGAAGUGGAGCCAAUCUUCAAAACACCUCUCAGUUCGGAUUGUAGGCUGCAACUCGCCUGCAUGAAGCUGGAAUCGCUAGUAAUCGCAAAUCAGCCAUGUUGCGGUGAAUACGUUCCCGGGUCUUGUACUCACCGCCCGUCACACCAUGGGAGUUGUGUUUGCCUUAAGUCAGGAUGCUAAAUUGGCUACUGCCCACGGCACACACAGCGACUGGGGUGAAGUCGUAACAAGGUAACCGUAGGUGAACCUGCGGUUGGAUCACCUCCUUUCUAGA